GGGGUAUGCUUGGAGCAGGGGCCUGAAAAUGUCUCGUCUGUUAAUAACACACCCAACAGGAAUCUGGGUCAUCGAGGUGAGGGGCACAAAACUUCCCUACAUGU
ensembl:snoRNA